rnacentral:misc_RNA from 1 species
AACGCACAUUGCGCCCGCCAGUAUUCUGGCGGGCAUGCCUGUUCGAGCGUCAUUUCAACCCUCAAGCCCCCGGGCUUGGUGUUGGGGCUCGGCCCGUCCCUCGUGGCGCGCCGUCCCCGAAAUCCAGUGGCGGUCACGCUGUACUCCUCUGCGUAGUAAUCCAACCUCGCAACGGGACAAAGCCUGGCCACGCCGUUAAACCCCCCACUUCUGAAGGUUGACCUCGGAUCAGGUAGGAAUACCCGCUGAACUUAA